CCUACGGGGGGCAGCAGUGGGGAAUAUUGCACAAUGGGCGAAAGCCUGAUGCAGCAACGCCGCGUGAAGGAAGAAGGGUUUCGGCUUGUAAACUUCUAUUAACAGGGACGAAACAAAUGACGGUACCUGAAUAAGAAGCCACGGCUAACUACGUGCCAGCAGCCGCGGUAAUACGUAGGUGGCAAGCGUUAUCCGGAUUUACUGGGUUUAAAGGGUGCGUAGGCGGUUUGUUAAGUUAGUGGUUAAACUUCGGGGAUUAACCUUGAUUUGCAAUUGAUACUGUAAGGCUCGAGUGCAGACGAGGUAGGCGGAAUACGUUAUGUAGCGGUGAAAUGCUUAGAUAUAACGUAGAACACCGAUAGCGAAGGCAGCUUACCAGACUGAGACUGACGCUGAAGCACGAGAGCGUGGGUAGCGAACAGGAUUAGAUACCCCUGUAGUC
rnacentral:rRNA from 1 species